rnacentral:tRNA from 1 species
GAUCACCUCCUUAAUCGACGACAUCAGCUGCUCCAUAAGUUCCCACACGAAUUGCUUGAUUCAUUGAAGAAGACGAUAAGAAGCAGCCCGAAAUUGGGUCUGUAGCUCAGUUGGUUAGAGCGCACCCCUGAUAAGGGUGAGGUCGGCAGUUCGAAUCUGCCCAGACCCACCAAUUUUGUGUGGGAAACGCCUGUAGAAAUACGGGGCCAUAGCUCAGCUGGGAGAGCGCCUGCCUUGCACGCAGGAGGUCAACGGUUCGAUCCCGUUUGGCUCCACCACUACCGCUUCUGUUUGUUGAAAGCUUAGAAAUGAGCAUUCCAUCCUGGUGAUGGUGAAUGUUGAUUUUUAGUCUUUGAUUAGAUCGUUCUUUAAAAAUUUGGGUAUGUGAUAGAAAGAUAGACUGAUGGCCACUUUCACUGGUGGUGAUCAGGCUAAGGUAAAAUUUGUGAGUUUAAUCGCGAAUUUUCGGAGAAUGUGGUGUG